rnacentral:rRNA from 1 species
GACGAACCGAGCGAACGUUGUUCGGAAUCACUGGGCUUAAAGGGCGCGUAGGCGGGCCUGAAAGUCAAGGGUGAAAGCCCCCGGCUCAACCGGGGAACGGCCGCGGGGACUGGGGGCCUCGAGUGGGGUAGGGGCGCGCGGAACGCCGGGUGGAGCGGUGAAAUGCGUUGAUAUCCGGCGGAACUCCGGUGGCGAAAGCGGCGCGCUGGGCCCCCCCUGACGCUGAGGCGCGAAAGCCAGGGGAGCAAACGGG